AAAAUUUCGGACUCCACUUUUGUUCGGACUGACCCAAGGAUUACAACGAUGUAAAGUUUUUGAGUCUACGUCAAACGGUUUACGACUGCGGGCCAAAAAUGUCUGAAAUUUUUGUAUUUUGCGCUAAAACGAUGCGCCGUAGAGCGAAAAAACCAGCAGAGCAAUUUUGUUCGGGCUAACCCAAGGAUUGCAACGAUGCCAUGUUUUUGAGUCUACGACAAACGGUUUACGAGCUACGGCCAAAAAUGUCUGAAAAUUUAGUUUUUUGCGCUGUAGCGCCCCCGUUAGGCCGAUUGGGCCUGUUCUUUGCGCCUGAGUAGCGAGCAAGACUACUACCUUUUGACCAAGUUUCAGCUCUCUAGGCCUUACGGUUUGGUCUGCCCGUUCAGUUUUAGGGCGGAAGAAUAAUAAUAAUAAUAAUAAUAAUAAUAAUAAUAAUAAUAAUAAUAAUAAUAAAAAUCCUAACAAUUACAAUAGGGUUUCAGCACUUCGUGCUCGAACCCCUAAUAAUAAUAAUAA
ensembl:lncRNA